AUACGUAGGUGGCGAGCGUUGUCCGGAAUUACUGGGCGUAAAGGGUGCGUAGGCGGAUAAUCAAGUCAGAUGUGAAAGUCCAUGGCUUAACUGUGGGAGUGCAUUUGAGACUGAAGAUCUAGAGUGCAGGAGAGGGAAGCGGAAUUCCUAGUGUAGCGGUGAAAUGCGUAGAUAUUAGGAAGAACACCAGUGGCGAAGGCGGCUUUCUGGACUGUAACUGACGCUGAAGCACGAAAGCGUGGGGAGCAAACAGGAGUAGAUACCCUGGUAGUCCACGCCGUAAACGAUGAGUAUUAGGUGUAGGGGACGAUAGUCUGCUGUGCCGGAGCAAACGCAAUAAAUACUCCGCCUGGGGAGUACGGUCACAAGACUAAA
rnacentral:rRNA from 1 species